rnacentral:rRNA from 1 species
AGUCGAGGGGUAACGGGGAAGCUUGCUUCCGCCGACGACCGGCGCACGGGUGCGUAACGCGUAUACAAUCUACCUUGUACUGGGGUAUAGCCUUUAGAAAUGAAGAUUAAUCCCCCAUAGUCUCUUAGAGUGGCAUCACUUCUAGAGUAAAGGUUACGGUAUAAGAUGAGUAUGCGUUCUAUUAGUUUGUUGGUGUGGUAACGGCACACCAAGACUACGAUAGAUAGGGGCCCUGAGAGGGGGAUCCCCCACACUGGUACUGAGACACGGACCAGACUCCUACGGGAGGCAGCAGUGAGGAAUAUUGGACAAUGGAGGCAACUCUGAUCCAGCCAUGCCGCGUGCAGGAAGACUGCCCUAUGGGUUGUAAACUGCUUUUAUACAGGAAGAAACACCUCUACGUGUAGAGGCUUGACGGUACUGUAAGAAAUAAGGAUCGGCUAACUCCGUGCCAGCAGCCGCGGUAAUACGGAGGAUCCAAGCGUUAUCCGGAAUCAUUGGGUAUAAAGGGUCCGUAGGUGGAUAACUAAGUCAGAGGUGAAAUCUUGCAGCUCAACUGUAAAAUUGCCUUUGAAACUGGUUAUCUUGAGUUAUUAUGAAGUAGUUAGAAUUUGUAGUGUAGCGGUGAAAUGCAUAGAUAUUACAUAGAAUACCAAUUGCGAAGGCAGAUUACUAAUAAUUAACUGACACUGAUGGACGAAAGCGUGGG